rnacentral:other from 1 species
GCGGAGCUGGGGGGCGCGUCAGGACACAUACCCUCGGGGCCGUACGAUCCCAAUGGGGGCUGUCCCUGUCCUCGCCCGUGGGCUUGGGCAUAUGGUUCCCACCUACUUACGUAGGCGCCCGGGAUCCUCGUCCAACGGCCAUCUCGGCUCCGCG